GCUUUUAAAAGAAAAGAAAAAAUAAAAAGAAAUGAUGUGGCCUCCUUUUAAAUUUGUUUUGAUUUAUUUCAAAUGGAUUUAAAAUGAUGUAUUUUUUACACCGGUGUAAUUGCCAUGUUUAUCAUCAGAAAUCAUAUCUUUCGUCGAUUUUAAGAUCUAAUUUUCGUUUGAUUUCUUUCAUUGGUUGAAUCCUGGGUUGUUAUCUUGCUUGUUGCUUUGGAUCGGUGUUGGAUCUGAUUUGAAAGAGUUUGGAUCUGGAUCUGGUUUGAAGGAGUUUGGAUUUGGAUUUGGAUUUGGAUCUGGGUAGUCGUCGGAUUCUGGAUCGUGUGGCUGAUGGUUGCUUCUGGUACUGCUAAUCUGAUCUGGUUUGCCGGCAUGUUCGCCGGUAUUUUACUGGUUGGGGGCAGCGUUCAGAGCCUUUGACUAUCUAGUUAAGAAUAUUUAGCACAUAAAUUUCCGUCUGUAUUUUAAUGUUCAAAUAGGAGCUCUAGUUGUCCCGUUACUUUUGCUUGUUUCAUAUCUCAGAUUUUGAGUAUGCAAUGGCUUUCAAUGUCAAUCCAGUCAACUGUAGGAACGGUUUAUUAUUACCAUUUUGCACUUUGAUUCAUUCUAUGGGGUAACUCCCACGGAAGAGGAGUUUGAUUGAUAAGUUUAGUAUAUAAACAUGGCCUUACUGUUAAUUGACUGUUAGUAUCAUCAACUGGGUUUGAUGUUAUGUUUUUUUUAUUAUUUUAAUUUUCUUUUGGUUUAUUGAGCAUC
rnacentral:lncRNA from 1 species